UGCGGCUUAAUUUGACUCAACACGGGAAACUCACCAGGUCCAGAUGAAAUAAGGAUUGACAGAUUGAGAGCUCUUUCUUGAUUUUUCAGGUGGUGGUGCAUGGCCGUUCUUAGUUCGUGGGGUGACUUGUCUGCUUAAUUGCGAUAACGAGCGAGACCUUACUCUGCUAAAUAGCCAGGCUAACUUUGGUUGGUCGCCGGCUUCUUAGAGAGACUAUCAACUCAAGUUGAUGGAAGUUUGAGGCAAUAACAGGUCUGUGAUGCCCUUAGAUGUUCUGGGCCGCACGCGCGCUACACUGACAGAGCCAACGAGUUCUUCACCUUGUUCGAAAGAAUUGGGUAAUCUUGUUAAACUCUGUCGUGCUGGGGACAAAGCAUUGCAAUUAUUGCUUUUCAACGAGGAAUGCCUAGUAAGCGCGUGUCAUCAGCAUGCGUUGAUUACGUCCCUGACCUUUGUACACACCGCCCGUCGCUACUACCGAUUGAAUGGCUCAGUGAGGCCUUCGGACUGGCUCGAGGAGGUUGGCAACGACCACCUCGAGCCGGAAAGUUCGUCAAACUUGGUCAUUUAGAGGA
rnacentral:rRNA from 1 species